GACGAACGCUGGCGGCGUGCCUAAUACAUGCAAGUAGAACGCACAGUUUAUACCGUAGCUUGCUACACCAUAAACUGUGAGUUGCGAACGGGUGAGUAACGCGUAGGUAACCUGCCUGGUAGCGGGGGAUAACUAUUGGAAACGAUAGCUAAUACCGCAUAAUAUUGAUUAUUGCAUGAUAAUUAAUUGAAAGGUGCAAUUGCAUCACUACCAGAUGGACCUGCGUUGUAUUAGCUAGUAGGUGAGGUAACGGCUCACCUAGGCGACGAUACAUAGCCGACCUGAGAGGGUGAUCGGCCACACUGGGACUGAGACACGGCCCAGACUCCUACGGGAGGCAGCAGUAGGGAAUCUUCGGCAAUGGACGAAAGUCUGACCGAGCAACGCCGCGUGAGUGAAGAAGGGUUUCGGAUCGUAAAGCUCUGUUGUAAGAGAAGAACGGGUGUGAGAGUGGAAAGUUCACACUGUGACGGUAUCUUACCAGAAAGGGACGGCUAACUACGUG
rnacentral:rRNA from 1 species